rnacentral:lncRNA from 1 species
ACGCCUCUCAACUCGUUCCACCCUUCACCCACUCCGAGGUUGCCGUGUGGUCGGCGUUGCACCCAUGGUCUCAUUGUCACGGUUCCUCUAGUUGUUUUGUUUUUUAUGGUGAUUUAGUAUGUUCUUUUCGAAGCUUCGGGAAAAUAUCUCUUUGACAAGCUCUCAAUCAUAGUGUUUGAAGUUACGUUCUUCUGGUGGUCGUUUCUGCUUCUCUAGCGCCGCUGACUGGUUCGUUGUGACUUUGUAGAGUUUUGGUUUGUUUUCAGUUGUUGUUUUUGAAUCUGCUUCUCAAGCUACGAUUCACUAGUGUUGGUGGUGGAAUCUUGACUUUGAUAUAUGAUUCUUUUCAGAUCUAUUGAGAUCUGCAGUUUUCAUUGUGUUUGGGGUUUAACACUGCAUUAGGGGUUCUGUGGUGGUUAUAGCCUCAUCGUCGAUGUGAUGUUCUGUUGUUGUCCGAUAGGAUGCCUUUGAGCUAGCUCAUUGUGGUCUAAUUUGAUUAUGCUUGAAAGAGUUGUUAAUCUUGUUGUGGUUUAUUUCACAUGAGUUGUUGGUAUGUGUAUUUGUCCGUGUUGGCGGUCGAAACAUUUACCAUUCUGUAAAAGAUAAGUUUGAUUUUUCAAGCUCGUCUCUAAUUCGUUUAGAAUAUUUGCAACUUUUUACACACUUUUUUUUAGAAAUUUAAUUUCAAGCCCCG